UGCAUACUCCCUCCGUUCGAAAAUACUUGUCAUCAAAGUAGACAAAAAGGGAUGUAUCUAGAACUAAAAUACAUCUAAAUACAUCCCUUUUUAUUCAUUUUGAUGACAAGUAUUUCUGGACGGAGGGAGUACUAG
rnacentral:pre_miRNA from 1 species